UAACUUUAUGUAUUCAAAUUUCAGGCUGCACAUGUGGGAUUCUUUAGAGUCUUUUCACUUGCAAAGCCUGAGGCUGGAAAAUUGGUCAUUGCUACGGUAGCUCUGUUGAUUGCAGCCACAUCAAGUAUCUUAGUUCAAAAAUUUGGUGGGAAGAUAAUUGACAUUGUCUCAGGAGAUAUCAGAACACCUGAGGAGAAAGAUGCAGCAUUAGAAGCUGUCAAGAACACCAUACUAGAAACAUUUCUCAUUGUUGUC